rnacentral:pre_miRNA from 1 species
UUUCUACUCCCUCCGUCCGAAAAUACUUGUCAUCAAAAUGGAUAAAAAGAGAUGUAUUUAAAACUAAAAUACGUCUAGAUACAUUUCCUUUUAUCCAUUUUGAGGACAAGUAUUUCCGGACGGAGGGAGUAUUUG